rnacentral:rRNA from 1 species
GAGUUUGAUCCUGGCUCAGGAUGAACGCUGGCGGUCUGCUUAACACAUGCAAGUCGAACGGGGGUAGAAAUACCCUAGUGGCGGACGGGUGAGUAACGCGUGAGAAUCUGCCUUCAGGUUCGGGACAACCACUGGAAACGGUGGCUAAUACCGGAUAUGCUUCACGGUGAAAGAUUUAUUGCCUGAAGAGGAGCUCGCGUCUGAUUAGCUAGUUGGUAGGGUAAAAGCCUACCAAGGCAACGAUCAGUAGCUGGUCUGAGAGGAUGAUCAGCCACACUGGGACUGAGACACGGCCCAGACUCCUACGGGAGGCAGCAGUGGGGAAUUUUCCGCAAUGGGCGAAAGCCUGACGGAGCAAGACCGCGUGAGGGAGGAAGGCUCUUGGGUUGUAAACCUCUUUUCUCAGGGAAGAAAAAAAUGACGGUACCUGAGGAAUCAGCCUCGGCUAACUCCGUGCCAGCAGCCGCGGUAAUACGGAGGAGGCAAGCGUUAUCCGGAAUUAUUGGGCGUAAAGCGUCCGCAGGUGGCUCGCUCAAGUCUGCUGUCAAAGACCGGGGCUUAACUCCGGAAAGGCAGUGGAAACUGACAAGCUAGAGGGCUCUAGGGGUAGAGGGAAUUCCCGGUGUAGCGGUGAAAUGCGUAGAGAUCGGGAAGAACAUCGGUGGCGAAAGCGCUCUACUGGAGAGCAACUGACACUCAGGGACGAAAGCUAGGGGAGCGAAUGGGAUUAGAUACCCCAGUAGUCCUAGCCGUAAACGAUGGAUACUAGGCGUGGCUCGUAUCGACCCGAGCCGUGCCGUAGCUAACGCGUUAAGUAUCCCGCCUGGGGAGUACGCACGCAAGUGUGAAACUCAAAGGAAUUGACGGGGGCCCGCACAAGCGGUGGAGUAUGUGGUUUAAUUCGAUGCAACGCGAAGAACCUUACCAGGGCUUGACAUGUCCGGAACCCUGCUGAAAGGUGGGGGUGCCUUCGGGAGCCGGAACACAGGUGGUGCAUGGCUGUCGUCAGCUCGUGUCGUGAGAUGUUGGGUUAAGUCCCGCAACGAGCGCAACCCUUGAUCUUAGUUGCCAGCAUUUAGUUGGGCACUCUAAGGUGACUGCCGGUGACAAACCGGAGGAAGGUGGGGAUGACGUCAAGUCCUCAUGGCCCUUAUGGGUAGGGCUUCACACGUCAUACAAUGGCCGGUACAAAGGGCUGCCAACCCGCGAGGGGGAGCCAAUCCCAGAAAACCGGUCGUAGUCCGGAUUGCAGUCUGCAACUCGACUGCAUGAAGUCGGAAUCGCUAGUAAUCGCGGAUCAGCAUGUCGCGGUGAAUACGUUCCCGGGUCUUGUACACACCGCCCGUCACACCAUGGGAGUGGGUUUCACCAGAAGCCGUUUGCCUAACCGCAAGGGGGACGGUUACCACUUUGUGAUUCAUGACUGGGGUGAAGUCGUAACAAGGUAACC